AAAGCAUUAAUCUUAAAACUUAAACGAUAACUCAUUAAACCUAUGAUAGUACUAUUUAAAUUAUGAAUCGAUUAACCGUAUAAGUGCUGUCAAUAGCUUCAAAUCCAGCACACGUUAAUUUUGGAAAAGGGUUAUAACUGUGAUAACGACGACAUUCGUUAUGUAUGGAACAUUCAUUACAAUUAUUCAGUGUACAAUACAAACGGAUAUGGGUACUUUGAGUUCCUAAGAAAUAUUGGUUCGGAAGACAAUUUUCAGAUUGUGGUCGAUGUAUAUAAAAAAACAAACGAACAAUGGGUGAAAAACAAAAGCGCGAUGAGCAAAAAUAUUUGUAUUUUUCUGUUCACUGACAUGUUGUUAGUGCCAAUCGUUCAAAAAUUUUCAA